UUAGAUACACAAAUACUCAUGAUUGUGUUACGGUUGCCCACAGUAUUCAGUGUAGGAUGCUGUAUCGGCUCGUAGUCUAAGAGCGAUGGGGGGCUGUACCGUAUAGCCUAGAUAAGAGAGACUUGAAAAUGUGUAAAUAAAGAUUGGAGGGAUCCAGUUGAGAGCUAACGUUUAAAUAUGAAUCCAGAAGAGAAAAUGAAUCCAGAAAAGAAAAUGAAUCAUUGAUAGUGUAAGAUUCGUAUGAAGGAGAGGAGGAGAUAAGGAUUGGUUUGGAUAGGAGAGACACCAACCACUCCUAUGGCAACAGGAAGAAGAUUGGUUCAGACGCAGGAAGAAGAAAGAGAAAGAGAACGAAGAGAAGGAGAGGAUGAAAAAAGAGAAGGAGGAGGAGAAAGAGACAGAGACGGACAGACAGAGAAAGGAAGGGAAAAAAAAGAGUGGAUCGUGAGAAAGCAAACCAUGAAAAAGGAACUCACAGAAUCCAAGAAACAGGAGAUCCAGCCCAGGAAAGAGGCAGAAGGAGGUGCCAGUGCUCCAGCUGCCCAGCAGGUCUGGAGAGGAAUCCAUCUCAAUCAGAGCAGGAGAGCAGAGAACGAGGGAAUGUCUCCA
rnacentral:lncRNA from 1 species